UACAGAGGUCCCAAGCGUUGUUCGGAUUUACUGGGCGUAAAGGGUGCGUAGGUGGCAUGUUAAGUUUGAUGUGAAAGCUCAGGGCUCAACCCUGAAAUGGCAUUGAAUACUAGCGUGCUGGAGGUUUGGAGGGGGGACUGGAAUUCUUGGUGUAGCAGUGAAAUGCGUAGAUAUCAAGAGGAACACCAGUGGCGAAGGCGAGUCCCUGGACAACACCUGACACUGAGGCACGAAAGCCGGGGGAGCAAACAGG
rnacentral:rRNA from 1 species